rnacentral:rRNA from 1 species
UAAGGAAUAUUGGUCAAUGGACGAAAGUCUGAACCAGCCAUGCCGCGUGGAGGAUGAAGGCCCUCUGGGUUGUAAACUUCUUUUAUAUGGGACGAAAAAGGGUCUUUCUAGAUCAACUGACGGUACCAUGUGAAUAAGCACCGGCUAACUCCGUGCCAGCAGCCGCGGUAAUACGGAGGGUGCAAGCGUUAUCCGGAUUCACUGGGUUUAAAGGGUGCGUAGGUGGGUUGGUAAGUCAGUGGUGAAAUCUCCGAGCUUAACUCGGAAACUGCCAUUGAUACUAUAGGUCUUGAAUUAUCUGGAGGUAAGCGGAAUAUGUCAUGUAGCGGUGAAAUGCUUAGAUAUGACAUAGAACAACGAUUGCGAAGGCAGCUUACUACGGAUAUAUUGACACUGAGGCUCGAAAGCGUGGGGAUCAAACA